ACUUCUUUGUGGUUACUUUAUUUGGAUGGUACUGCCAUAAAGGAUCUACCCCCAUCAUUUAAGAGUUUAUUCGGCCUUUCCAUAUUGUCUUUACAUAACUGCAAAAAGCUCUUAAUUUUUCCGAACGUUAUUUGUAGUUUGUCAUCUCUUAAAAUUCUGGAUGUAUCUGAUUGCCUAGCACUUGGUGGAAUUCCAGACAUGAAUGGUGAGGGGUAUCUGGAACAAUUGUAUAAAGGUGGAACUGCUAUCAAAUUCACUAAGUUUUUCGCAGUGCCAGAGCUUUGCUCAAAUGAUGCUUGCUCUACAUAAGAAAUGUUUAUUACCAAUGAUGACUCUAUUGGGGCCUUCUAUAUUGGUUAUGAUGACAAAGUCUACUACAUUAGAAGCUUGAAUCAUGAAGAAAGUAAUUUGCAAACAAAAGGCUAUGACGUUAAAAAUAAUUGUUUUAACCCCAAGUUAAUGUGUGGCUCUUCCCUGGGAGCUGAAAUUUGAGAGUGUUUCAACAUGAGAAGUUUGGGUUCUCAUGUAACACUUCAAAUCCAUCCAAACUUAGAUAAUAAUAGUAAGGAAGGGAUAUUUUUCAUUUUGCUUUUUAUGAAGUUGAUGAUGAGGUAGAGAAUUCAGAUCCAAGGAUUUUCAAAGGCAGUCAUCCUACUGAAGGCCAGUUUAUUGAGUUUGUUUAUCAUUUUUAGACUAAUGAAGGUCCUCUAAAAGAACCCUUAGUCCUUCGUGCCUCCAAAGAUCACCCUUCUGUAGGGCCAUUUGGGUUUGGGCUGUAUCUACCAGCCGAGUGGUUUUUGGAGCAAUCAAAUAAUUUGGAUGGAUGGAGCUACAUUGGAGCAUUAGUUAAAACAAGUAGCUCGAGCGUGAAGGUGAAAGAGUAUGGGGUGCGCCUUCUAUAUCAGCAUCCUUUUUCCGAAUUAUAUAAUACCUUUAUUCCUUAUAUUGGUUUAAAAUUAGAAAUUAGGCUCAUCUUUGUUGUUGUUUGGAAAUGGGUAGUCAUAUUGUUGUACCUUAUCGUUUCUAACGCGUAGUAAGGAAUUAAAAUGUGUGGUGGGUCAGUACUCCAGGCCAUGUUGUGUAAAUGGAUGCAAUUCAUGUAUAUAUUGAGGCUUUCAUCAAUUAUUAAUGCUAGCUAUUGGACAAGACGUUUGAGAAUGCAGAAGUGUGAGAGUUCAAGUGCUC